AGUUGGGCUCAGAACCUGCGAGGAUGGCAGCGGUGUCCAGCAGUGAAGACUGAAGGUGUCCACAGCUGUGAUAGGGGCUUCUGGGUCCUCUUGCUUGCUUUUCUUCACAGGAAGAAGUCCCUCCUAGCUCCUAGGGGGUUUGAUUGUGAGCGGCAAGGGUGUGGCAGAGAUUAUGCUCCAAGACACUGAAUCUGAAAGGAUGCAUCCAGUCUUGCCAAGUGGUUUCACUACCAAGGCCAGUCUCCAUCUAUGAUAGACCCAAGGAAGAUCAUUUACAACUAGAAUCUAGUCAUUUAGGAGAUUGUGUGCUCCCUGGAUGGGCCAUCUGCACUGGUGUGAGGUUUAUCUCAUUGAAGGGAAAACCAAAGGAAUCUUCUUGAAUAUCAGCACCAGGAAGAGCAGUACAAACUGGAGAAGCUGGGGUCAUUGUUGAGAGACAAAAUGAGAUCAUGUCUGGGAAAAUACUUCUAAAUUAUCAACUCCCUUUCUAUGGAAGAGGAUGACCAAAGAAGGAUGCACUCCUUGUCUGGAAUUAUGCCAGAGGUCUUAAAAUGCUCAGAAAUGAAAUCAGCCUUCUUCCCUGUCCUAAGAGGCUCAGGUUUUCGGCAAGUAACUCAUAAAAUUAAUGCUCCACUGAAAAUAAAAUCUGAUUUGAGUAGUAUCAGCACUUAGAAGACCUUUGGAGGCCGGGGGUAUUUUCUCUUUUACAAUGCUGUGAACAACAUUCACUCCUGGAAAACACUCCAAUGUCUUACAUCUUGAGGCUGUGGGGAUUUUUUUUUCUUUUGGUUUAAAUGUUGCCUUUCCUAUCUUUCUGCAUAUCAAUUUUUCCCCUGCCCAAGUCACAGGCUUGGUAGUAACCAUCAUGUUUACUGCUGUUCCUUCACAUGUGGUUCUCUGAGGCUUCUGAGCACCAGAAUUUUAUUAAACAGAGCUACUCACACCAUAAAGAUGGAAUUCUGCCAGAUCUGAAUCAUAGAAUAACACCAGAAUUGACUUCAGAAAUCAUCUUCUCUAAAGAUUUGCAAGAUUUUUAAACAGCACAUGCCUUUGUAAAAUGAAAUCAUCAGUGGAACACCGUAUAUAAAAUAAAAUUAAUAAAAACUACUAUGGCUGGAGAGGUGAAACUCUAACAUAUUACACAGUCUCCUGGGUUUUUUUGCAGAUAUUAAGGAUCCACUGAACCAUUUGAAAACUACCCUAUAUACUCCCCCUUUCCAGUGCUUCAGUCCCUUCUAUAGUAAUCACCACUGGAUUGUUCAGUCUUUCAAUAUUUUCAGUGGUGCCUAUCCUCCCAAGAAAGGCCAUCUUAAUUUGGGACAGCUUUAACUGUCUAUUUGGAAAAUCAUUCUUAUAUUUUAAUGGUCUCCUUGUAACCUCUAUUUAUUGUUACUAGAACAGAACUAGACUGUGCUCUAUUCCAUCUAAGUAUUGGGGUCAAUGAUCAUAUUCCUCCACAAACUUAUAGUUUUUUUACAAACUAAAUAUCCCCUGAUUUUUUCAACUUUAUCACAGUGUGAGAAUAUGUGGGCCUAAUCUCUUUAUUCUAAUUUCUUUCCUUUGAACUUGCUUCACUUUGUCAAUGUCAGUUUUAAUUUGUGUGCCUAGAACUGUAAAAAGUAAUCCCUAUGUUGACUGUAAUCAUCAACUCUUUCACUUUGAACAUUCUACCCCUGUUAAUUUGGCCUAUAAUUGAAUUUGAUUUGGGGAAAACUUGUCGGAGCUUAGCCAACUAAAUCCCCAAUAUCAUCCUUGAAUAUGCUACUGCAGAACCAAAUCUCCCAUAUUACAAACUUUUAAAAUUGUUUUAAUGACUUCAUGUGGUCAUUUUCCUUUGCCAUGGCUUUUAAAGUCACAUGGUUCUAUUAGAAAGAUUUCUAGGUCUCUUGUCAUUUCUAGAAUCUGGUUUGUUGGAUUUGGCAAAUCAAUAUCUGUAUAUUUGUUCACUUUUUAUUCUGUCAAUCGCAAACAUGCCAUCUGCUUAAUAAUUUCCCACAGAUCUUUAUUGAUAUAUAUUUUGUUGGGAAAGAAUUUAUCAUUUUAGAUCCAGAAUAUGUAAUCAUAGCUGUCCAUUUAUAUCUGACCAUAAAGAACUUUCCUACUAUAGAAUUUUUGAGAUUUGGUGAGGGCUAACUAGAAGGCUGAAAGGAUAGGAAAGCUGCUGAGUUUAUUUGGUUACACACCAAUGGUCCUGUAAGUCUGUAAUUUCAAAAAUCUACCCGAAAACAAGGGAUUGUAUCCACUGUUAAAUGGAUGAAGUUUUAAGCAUCAGAAAAUCAGUCUGAAUUUUCAUUAUUCCCUAGAAAUUUUCUCAACUUUGUGAGUUUCAUCCAGGUACUUUGCCGUUCUUGAACAUAUUUUCAUGUGGUUUUAUAAUAUUUAUUCAACAUUAUUUUCCAUUAGUUCUCUAAUUUUAAUUGUUGGUAAGCAUUUCGAUGUGUAGCUAUUACAUGGUGCAGAACUGAUUUAUCCACGUUAAUGUCUGAGGAGACCAUGACCCAUUUUAUCUGCUGCGUGGUCAGCCCUGGUAUUCAUGGCAGGUUGUCUGAAUAUUUCUGAUGAAGUCUUUAAGUACAUGUAAUUCUGAAAACACAUUCCCAUUCAGUAAGACUUAUACAGGAUGGUAAGCCUAACAUGGCAAAAGGUUUCUAAAAAAUUCCAUAAACAUUAAGCAUAUUUAUGUCAUAGCAUUAAGUUUGGUCAAUUUGAAACUUACCGUAUUGUAGUAUAAGAGGCAUUUUGUUUGCUUGUGUUUACUUUCCCAGGAGUAAAUGCGUUUUGGUUAACCACAAUGGCAAACUUAGUCAAGACAUUUAUGUCAACAAAUCCUACUGCUUAACAAAGUCACAUUCUUAGUUUCUGGGACAGCAGACUGGAUUCUAAGUAAUAAGGUGUUUAUAAGGUGUGCUGUAAAUCUGGGACUAUAAACAUGUCUACUUUUCUGUUAAACCUGCUGCUGUGCGUGAGGUACAAUAAGCUCUCUUUUCAGUUUUAUGGUGGCCAGUAUGUUGGCUUGCCAGUCUUGAUUGCUGUUGAUUCUACUGUUCCCAAAGCCUCCUGCCAAGCUCUUGACCCAAGUCACGCUCCCUGGUGAUGUCAUAAUGCUGCUACGAAUUUGCUCAUUCACUGUACCUGCAGGGAUGCCCCAAGAGUCACAUACCUUCCCUGUUAGUCACUCGUUGGAGAAUAACACCUUGAAAUGAGCAGGGCCUCUCCUUCCCCUGAUUUCAAAGCCAUUACAUUUUCAGAAUUUUCAUAAUGAGUUUAUAGAUACAGUAAGAUGACUAUUACCUUUAUGGAAAUUAUUUUUAAUUUGUUUUUUUCUCAAAAAUAACACUAUUAAUUUUGUUUGGACCAAAAAAAUUUUCUCCACAUUCAUAAGCAAAAUUUAUUUCAAUUAAACACAUAUUUAUGAAAUACAGUGCCUGGUAUUUGAAAUCAUCACCAUUGUUAUGUAUGCCAAAUAUCUGGAGGAAAAGAAGAGAAAGUGGUCAUAGAUCUGAAUAUUUAAAUUACAUGAUGUUGAAUACAUCUAUUUGGAAAAAUCUUAUUAAUUCUAAAUUCUUUACUUUUUACCCAAAUAUUGGGCAUUUAUAUAGAUAUAGCUUGCAUCUUGCCUUACUUUACAAUUUAAUUCCCCCUACCAAAUUGCUCAAACCAUACUUCUCCAAAGAUUCUAUGAGUUAGACCAAAUAUAAAAACAAAAACAAACAAACAAACAAAAAA